AUGAGAUCCUUCUGUGUCGACCCACUGAGUAGCUGGGAUUGCAGGUGUGAACCACUGUGCCUGCCUACCUCCAAGCUCUCUUUGGAUCUAAAGAAUACCUUUAUGUCUGGGCAUGGCUUGCUCCGUGUGUCUGUGAGGCAGGUGAAGAGAGGUCAGGAACCACCGAGGAUGGUGAUGACUAUUCCUAUUUUGCAGUGCUAUGCAUUGAAUCCAGGGAUUCAAUUCUGCAGUGCAAAAAAGGAAGAGCUUCCCACAUGCGAACCUCAUUAAGAAGAAGGGUUUCCUCUGUCCUGCAACACCAGAAGAUAGACUGAUGAAUCAUGGGCAGAGACUCUGGGAAUGUGAGUGUUGUCCCACAGUACAAAGGGAACCUCAGAAAAUGGCAAAUCACCAUGGCAGGAGGUGGCGUAGAGGAGACUGGAUGAUGCGUAUGGGAUUCCCAUCCAGAUGAGCAAGGGUCCCUCUACAGCCCCUUCUACUUGUCCAACCCCAAACUCCAGGACAGGGAAGGGACCCAGCUGGUCCAGAAAUUUAGAAGACAAG
rnacentral:lncRNA from 1 species